UGGGGAAUAUUGCACAAUGGGCGCAAGCCUGAUGCAGCCAUGCCGCGUGUGUGAAGAAGGCCUUCGGGUUGUAAAGCACUUUCAGCGAGGAGGAAGGUGGUGAGCUUAAUACGCUCAUCAAUUGACGUUACUCGCAGAAGAAGCACCGGCUAACUCCGUGCCAGCAGCCGCGGUAAUACGGAGGGUGCAAGCGUUAAUCGGAAUUACUGGGCGUAAAGCGCACGCAGGCGGUUUGUUAAGUCAGAUGUGAAAUCCCCGGGCUCAACCUGGGAACUGCAUUUGAAACUGGCAAGCUAGAGUCUCGUAGAGGGGGGUAGAAUUCCAGGUGUAGCGGUGAAAUGCGUAGAGAUCUGGAGGAAUACCGGUGGCGAAGGCGGCCCCCUGGACGAAGACUGACGCUCAGGUGCGAAAGCGUGGGGAGCAAAACAGGAUUAGAUACCCUGGUAGUCCACGCUGUAAACGAUGUCGAUUUUGGAGGUUGUGCCCUUGAGGCGUGGCUUCCGGAGCUAACGCGUUAAAUCGACCGCCUGGGGAGUACGGCCGCAAGGUUAAAACUU
rnacentral:rRNA from 1 species